UACGUAGGGUGCAAGCGUUUGUCCGGAUUUAUUGGGCGUAAAGAGCGUGUAGGCGGCCAAGCAGGUCCGCUGUGAAAACUCGAGGCUCAACCUCGAGACGUCGGUGGAAACCGUUUGGCUAGAGUCCGGAAGAGGAGAGUGGAAUUCCCGGUGUAGCGGUGAAAUGCGCAGAUAUCGGGAAGAACACCCGUGGCGAAGGCGGCUCUCUGGGACGGUACUGACGCUGAGACGCGAAAGCGUGGGGAGCGAACAGG
rnacentral:rRNA from 1 species